rnacentral:rRNA from 1 species
ACGUUAGCGGCGGACGGGUGAGUAACACGUGGGUAACCUACCUAUAAGACUGGGAUAACUUCGGGAAACCGGAGCUAAUACCGGAUAAUAUUUCGAACCGCAUGGUUCGAUAGUGAAAGAUGGUUUUGCUAUCACUUAUAGAUGGACCCGCGUCGUAUUAGCUAGUUGGUAAGGUAACGGCUUACCAAGGCGACGAUACGUAGCCGACCUGAGAGGGUGAUCGGCCACACUGGAACUGAGACACGGUCCAG